rnacentral:misc_RNA from 1 species
GAUGAAGAACGUAGCGAAAUGCGAUAAGUAAUGUGAAUUGCAGAAUUCAGUGAACCAUCGAAUCUUUGAACGCACAUUGCGCCCGGCAGUAAUCUGCCGGGCAUGCCUGUCCGAGCGUCAUUUCUGCCCUCGAGCGAGUCCAGCAUCUAGGUGCUGGGCCCGCCCGGCGUUGGGGCACUACGGGAAGCCCUGUGCUGUCCCCCGUAGGCCCCGAAAUGAAGUGGCGGUCCUGCCGCGGCGCCCCCUGCGUAGUAUAACAGCUCGCUUCGGGACCCGGUGGAGGCCUGCCGUCAAACCUUACUCUCUAAGUUUGACCUCGGAUCAGGUAGGGUUACCCGCUGAACUUAAGCAUAUCAUAAGCGGAGGA